rnacentral:snoRNA from 1 species
AUCCUUUUGUAGUUCUUAAGUGUGAUGAUUGGGUUUUCAUGCUCAUGUGUGAAAUGUGCCUUUCUCAAACCUUGUUAUGACACUGGCACACUACCUGUGUGACG